GUUUCAUCGAUAGCUCCUCCAUGUGCCAGGAUGUCGAGAGGCAGGCAGUGUUGGUGCAGAGUGGUGAGGCAGAACCCCGAUGCCUUUCUUGUGGGACAGUGCGGGGAAGAGCUUGCCCUGGCCCAGGCACGAGGAACUUUGUGAACUUCCAACUCAGUUGG